GACGUAGGUGGCAAGCGUUGUCCGGAAUUAUUGGGCGUAAAGCGCGCGCAGGCGGUCCUUUAAGUCUGAUGUGAAAGCCCACGGCUCAACCGUGGAGGGUCAUUGGAAACUGGGGGACUUGAGUGCAGAAGAGGAAAGCGGAAUUCCACGUGUAGCGGUGAAAUGCGUAGAGAUGUGGAGGAACACCAGUGGCGAAGGCGGCUUUCUGGUCUGUAACUGACGCUGAGGCGCGAAAGCGUGGGGAGCAAACAGG
rnacentral:rRNA from 1 species